rnacentral:rRNA from 1 species
GAUCAUGGCUCAGGAUGAACGCUAGCGACAGGCCUAACACAUGCAAGUCGAGGGGCAGCGGAGAGGUAGCAAUACCUUUGCCGGCGACCGGCGCACGGGUGAGUAACACGUAUGCAAUCCACCUGUAACAGGGGGAUAACCCGGAGAAAUCCGGACUAAUACCCCAUAAUAUGGGCGCUCCGCAUGGAGAGCCCAUACAAAGAGAGCUAAUUUUGGUUACAGACGAGCAUGCGCU